UUUUAUAUCAGAUUAUCCUUAGGAAAGCCA
rnacentral:piRNA from 1 species